UCAGUUAUCACAGUGCUGAUGCUGUGCCCAUGGAAGGUACAGUACUGUGAUAACUGAAU
ensembl:miRNA gmo-mir-101a gmo-mir-101a